GAUGAAGAACGUAGCGAAAUGCGAUACGUAGUGUGAAUUGCAGAAUUCCGUGAACCAUCAAAUCUUUGAACGCAUAUUGCGCUCGAGGCUUCGGCCGAGAGCAUGUCUGCCUCAGCGUCGGUAUUACCCCUCGCUUCUCAACCCCUGGUUGAUGCCUGCCUGCCUUUGCAGUUGGCUAGAAGCGGAUCUGGCUUUCCCAAUUGCCUUUGGUAGUUGGGUCAGCUGAAGCACAGAGGCUUGAGCAAGGACCCUUAUUGGGCUUCAACUGGAUAGGUAGAACUGGUCUUAGGACCAACUACACGAAGUUGUUGCUUGUGGUCUUUGUCUGGAGGCCAACAGGAAACCUUUAUACCUUCGACCUGAGCUCAGGCAAGAUUACCCGCUGAACUUAAGCAUAUCAAUAAGCGGAGGA
rnacentral:misc_RNA from 1 species